rnacentral:rRNA from 1 species
UACGUAGGGUGCAAGCGUUAAUCGGAAUUACUGGGCGUAAAGCGUGCGCAGGCGGUUCUAUAAGACAGAUGUGAAAUCCCCGGGCUCAACCUGGGAACUGCAUUUGUGACUGUAGAGCUGGAGUACGGUAGAGGGGGAUGGAAUUCCGCGUGUAGCAGUGAAAUGCGUAGAUAUGCGGAGGAACACCGAUGGCGAAGGCAAUCCCCUGGACCUGUACUGACGCUCAUGCACGAAAGCCAGGGUAGCGAACGGG